rnacentral:rRNA from 1 species
AGAGUUUGAUCAUGGCUCAGAACGAACGUUAGCGGCGCGCCUAAGACAUGCAAGUCAAGCGAGAAAGGGCUUCGGCCCCGGUAAAGCGGCGCACGGGUGAGUAACACGUAGGUCAUCAACCCCCAAGUGGUGGAUAACCCUCCGAAAGGAGGGCUAAUACAGCAUGAUGCCAGCAAUGGCCAAAGCGAGCCUCUUCAUGAAAGCCCGCGCUAGGGGAUGAGCCUGCGGCCCAUCAGGUAGUUGGCGGAGUAACAGCCCACCAAGCCUAAGACGGGUAGCUGGUCUGAGAGGAUGAACAGCCACACUGGAACUGAGACACGGUCCAGACUCCUACGGGAGGCAGCAGUCGGGAAUCUUCCGCAAUGGGCGAAAGCCUGACGGAGCGACGCCGCGUGAGCGAUGAAGGCCUUCGGGUUGUAAAGCUCUGUGGGGAGGGAAGAAUAAGUUCAGGCCAAUACCCUGAAUGAUGACGGUACCUCCUUAGCAAGCACCGGCUAACUCUGUGCCAGCAGCCGCGGUAAUAC